AGUAACGGCGAGUGAACGGAGAUUAGCCCAGCACCGAAGCCUGUUCAUGUAUGUGGACAAGGCAAUGUGGUGUUCAGGCAUGCAUCUUGGAUGGCUCGACUGCUCGAAGUCCAACUCCGAUUAUGGCUUUGGAUUUGUCCCAUAGAGGGUGAAAGGCCCGUUCGAGUAGUCAUGUUGUUUUUGAGCUGUCCUUAGAUAUGCGUGCUCUGGAGUCGGAUUGCUUGAGAAUGCAGUCCAAAGUGGGUGGUAAACUCCAUCCAAGGCUAAAUACUGGCACGAGUCCGAUAGUAGACAAGUACCGUGAGGGAAAGUUGAAAAGUACUCUGAAGAGAGAGUAAAUAGUACGUGAAGCCGACUGAAUGGAAGCUGGUGGAGUCAAGCUUCUAGCUUGCGGAAUUGACGCAGAGACCUUGCUGGUUAAGGAGUCUAGCUGGACUGGCUUUCAAAUAGCUGGGUACCUUGGUACCUUAUGUUGUCUGGGCUGGUCGCAUUUGUCUUGCUAUGAUCUCCAGUCUCUUGUGUUAUUUCUUCUUGCUUGGAUCACGGUCAAUGUUCUUGUAGUGUUAGUAUAUCUAACCGAGUUUGAGUGAGCCUUUGGCUUAUUUGAUUCGGGAUGGCAGGAGGUGACUGUUAGGCUUUGCUUAUCGGUCAUGUAUAGUGGUUUAGACCUGCUGAUGUACUUUCUGUUAAUACUAUCAAGUUCAUUGUUUCUAUAUCGGCAGUAUCCUUAAUAAGCUUCUGUCGUGAGAGCCGUGGUUUUGAAGUAGAUUUUCCACCGGACCCGUCUUGAAACACGGACCAAGGAGUUUAACUUGCUCGCGAGUCAUUGGAUUCUUGUGAAAUCCGAAGGCGCAAUGAAAGUAAACGGUUGCAUUCGUAGCCGAAGGUGAUCUUGGUUUACCUUGACUAAGGUCCGGAGCGUACACGGCCCGUCUUUAAAUGUAGUCAUGCUUGCUACAGCUUG
rnacentral:rRNA from 1 species